GCCUGCGUGCUCUCGGGGUGGGGUGGGGUGGGGACCUCCGUCAGGCUGGUGACUGAUGAGGGUCCCUGCCUCAGCCCACCGCUGCCAUCUAGCGGCGCUGAUCCCCUAGAUUCCCGCCCUGCUGGCCGAGACACUCUGAGAUUUCUAGGUCUUGGCUUAAGAGAGACAUACCACAGGCUACAAAGGGGGAAACGAGGAGAGGCAGCUUUAACUAGUUACCUCAACACUAGGAACGUACAUUCUAUACAAGUUCCAAUUUGUAUUUCUUUGAAGAAAGCUAUGAAAAUGACGACUAUUACCCAGUCUGGACAAAUCAGAACUGUUAGUAACACUCUCAGUGUUCCCUUGGAUCUGCGGUGGGAACAGUCCCAGAGGAAGAGGAAGCCUCAGCUACCAUCAUCCUAGCUGCCAACAAUGAGUCUGAGGGUGCGGCCUUCUGCACUCCCUCCUCUGUGACAAAUAACAGCAAAGCAAAGGUGAACGUUCUACCUGAAAGUUUUAAAAACCUAAGGCCCUCUAUGACCUCGAAUUAUGUAGAGGGUUAAUUUUUAUUGGACCUUUUGUGGUUACUUGACCUGGGCCACUCUGGGAAGAGACCUCACUCGGUGCUCUUCCUGGGUCCCAGUUUUCAAAAGAGCAUAACUGUGUGAGACGGGCCUUUAGGUCGCAGCGACCCUCCACAGUAGGCAUCACAGCUACCUCUGGAGCUUGGCUAGGCAGGCUCGUGGGGACGCAGAGCUUCACAGGAUUUCGUCCUUGUGCCACGACUUAGUCCUUCAACUCUGAGCAUCAUGGCCCCCUUUUCCGUUUGGGGACACUCAGCUGCAGAGACGGACCUGCCAGAGGACACAGCCAGAAAACGAGAGCCGGGCUGGGAGCCGAGCCCCGACUUCCUCCGGAAGUGCCGACGGGGACACCUCGGGCGUGGGGACAACGAUUUGAUGUACUUUCCACAUGGGUGAGUUUGUUUCUACAUCUGACGCUCACCCUGGGAGAGGUUCCCGGGACUUACCUGCGACCACGAGUUCCAGGCUGAAGGAGUUGUGUCCAGCCCGGUUGGUGGCCAUGCACGUGUAGACACCGGCGUCCCGGGCCGUGACGGGCUCGAUGAUCAGAGAGUGCACCCCGUUCUCUCGCACCAGCAUCUUGUGGGUGCUGUCCUGGCGGAUGGGCUUGCCGUCCAGCAGCCAGCUGAGAUCGGGGGUUGGCAGCCCACUGACCUAAACCGGGAAGAAAUGCGAAUGAAUUCCUCUGCUACGGAAACAGCGAAGUCACGAACACCUAAGACACCGGCACAGACUCCUCCUUCAGGACAACAUGAGGCUCUUAGCAUCAGGUCACGUUUCUUACUUACUUAUUUAUUUUUGGCUGCGUUGGGUCUUUGUUGCAGUGCGCGGGCUUCUCUUGUUGCGGAGCACGGGCUCUAGGCGCAUGGGCUUCAGUAGUUGUGGCACGUGGGCUCAGUAGUUAUGGCUCGUGGGCUCUAGAGCACAGGCUCAGUAGUUGUGGUGCACGGGCUUAGUUGCUCCGUGGCAUGUGGGAUCUUCCCGGACCAGGGCUUGAACCCGUGUCCCCUGCAUUGGCGGGCGGAUUCUUAACCACUGCACCACCACCAGGGAAGCCCACAUUUCUCUUUUGCUUAAAAUCUUUGAAUAGCUUCUCGGCACACACGGGCUCACUUCUAAACAUUUCUUAUAGAGCAACCCAGAGAAAAGUGAGAUGGGGACUAAAAACAUUCGCCAUCGUCCUUCCUCACCCAGGUUAUAGAUGCUGAGGGUGACGUCAGCCCAGGGCUCUGAGCCCUUCCAACCAUGACAAGGACUCACACUCAGCUCGCACGGCUCACGACAAAGCCUCUCAUCAAGGCUGCUGUAGCUGCGGAGACAUUAGUUAAUGCAGCCAUUAAGACACAGGGCUGUUAUUAUUUUAUAAUCCUUCAAAGUAAGUAAUAGGAGACAUACGAAAUGACCCAGAAAGCAUCUCAACAAAUUAGCCUCACAACGGAAACGUUAAAAAAAACCACCACUCUCCAGACCACGACAGUCGUGCUGACCAGAGAUCAGACAAAAGCACGUUGAACGGCUAACGGCAUGGCGUGCAGUGAGGGGAGGGGUGGCCACCGUCUGUCAGCUCUUCACUCUAGGGCCCUGCAUUCUGAACGGGAAGAAGAGCACCAGUAAGGAAGGCCCUUUCACCCCUACCCCAAAGGCACCAGUGGGAAAUCACAUACGGAAAGAUGUCAGUGGGACUGCAAACCAAUUCUUUUGAGAAUCAGCUCUGCCAAAAUCCGCCAGAGAACUCACAAUUGCACUCGUGCUGUGUGACGCUCACGUAUACUGCCCCCAGGAUGCCUCACCCCCCAACAGACACACACAGCAAAGGCCCAGGGAUUUACACAAAAACAAUUAAAUCACUGGCUAAAAGCGGGCCAGGCUCUGCAGCCUCCCAUCCGUCCACCUGCCGCCCCGGCGCUCCACGCCCGCUCUACCUGUCGGGCCAGCACAGGUGCACGGAGGAAGGGGGUGGGCUUUCCCGCCCGGGGCUGCACACCUGGCCCUCUGGGCCGGUCAGGUACCGGCGAGGCCGCAGCAGGUUUAGGAGGGAGACGCCGCACGCACUCUGGGCCCACCUGGGCCAGAGCUGCGCGGCCGGGCAGAGGGGAAGGCCGAGUCCUCUCCCUCUGAGGCCAGCAAGGCGAGCCUGACCUCAGGAACUGGGUCACUGUAAGCAGGCCCCAGCCUGGACAGGUGGGCGGCUCUGGCUGCCGUGGGAACGGGGGGAAGCAGAGGCGUUUACUCCCGGAGGCCGAGAGCUGGCCGGGGCAGUCAGUGCCCGGGGAGCGAGUCGGGGGCCCAGCAGCUGCCUUAGCGACUGGCCUGUUCCCAUGAUUCUUCUUUCCCUCUUAAAGCGUAAAUACACUGGAAAAGAUUUUCCACAUUUGUCCAGGUCGGAUCAUAACAGUAAAAUCAACGGAUUACCUUUUGUUUCCAAUAUUCUCUUAAAGGCAGGCAUUUCAAGGACAGCUGUGUCACUCGCAGAAAAAUAAAGUGCUAUGAUUUCUUUCUUAAAUGUGAUCAAAAGUAGAGCCAACAGUAUUGUGAACCUCCAUGUAGCCAUCACCUACAUUCACUCUCUUCUGUAAUUUUUCAUAUUUUAAAAAUAGACCCCAAGCUUUAUACUUGCUACUUUAUGAAGUAUCAUUCUAAAAGAACAGAUUCUUCUUACAUAGUCACAGUUCCCAUUUUAUACAUAAAACUAAAAUUAAUAGUAAUCCCUUGGCAUCAUCUAAUUUUCUCAAAGAAAAUUUCCCCUGUGGACUCAAAUGUCAUUUUACGGGUGGUCUGUAUGAAUUCUCAGUUACAGACCCCAAAUAAAUACACACAUAUAAAUAUAUACACACUGUAUAUAUAUAAACUCAAUCUGUAUACUUAUACUGUAAAAAGAAUUAUGUUGCAAACACUGCAGCUGACAAGGGAUUAAUCUCCAAAAUGUACAAGGAGCUCACGUGGCUCAAUAACAAAAAAAACAAAAAACAAACAACAAC